rnacentral:lncRNA from 1 species
GUAGGAAGUGGCAAUAGGAGGUCUCGGGCUCAGCUCAAAGGGCUCAGCUUAGACAAAAGCUUAAAAAAGUUAACUCUCUUGCCUGUUUCACAAUGUGUCUUUCUCCACUCCCUCCCAGAAAAGAAGAGGAGGGGGUGUAGGCAGAGUUGAUUGACUAGGGGCAAGGAUCGCUUUAUCUGGAGAGGUGGAAAGAGCAAGUCUGCAAGUGUGGCCUCAUCCUGAGAUGUUUGGGCUCAAAGGUCUCAUCAGGUGAUCUGACCUUUGCCUCCAUGGAUUUCUGGCAUCUUGGAAUAAGUAGCAUCAACCUUUUAGCCUUGGAAAAGUCUCUAGAGGGAUUAGGGUUCCCUGGACUUCAUACCAAGACUUUGCUUGGUUCUCUGUAUUUCUACUGACUGGUCCAGCAAAGUAGAGAAGUUGUAAGAAUCUUAACUUGGACUGUAUAAUUAUACUCAGAUCACAAAAGGAGACUGUAAACACCUCUACAAUGAGAGGAUAUAUAGAAUGUCACUGGAGGCACGUAGAUUGUCCAAAAACCAAAGGAGAAACAAUUGUAAGCCAAGGGUGACACAAUCCCCAGGGAGUUUGACUCAAUGAAGACCAAGCUCAUUCAUGGAUCCCCAAGGGCUUCCAGCUCCAGGGCGUGGAGACUGAGUGUGUCUUAUUCAUCAUUAUAUUCCCAGCACCAGGCAUAUAUUGUCGCAACUAAGACUUGUUUCUGCAAAUGUAAAAAUCUCGAAGGAAGACUGGAGGGCAGCUGGGCAAAUGGAUAAGUUUCUUUAUCGCUAAGGAAUAUACAAAUACUUUAGUAUAAAACCAAAAGUCACCCAUUGGGCUAGAGCUAAUAUGCAGAGAAUCAAGGAUAAUAAUCCCUACAAAGCACCUAACUCCCUUCCUUUCUCCAAGUAUGUCCUUCCUUGCUUCCUCAUUUCUAAAGCUUUCAGGGCCACAGCUUGAAGCAAAA